rnacentral:rRNA from 1 species
ACGGGAGGCAGCAGCUAAGAAUAUUCCGCAAUGGACGAAAGUCUGACGGAGCGACGCCGCGUGGAUGAUGAAGGCCGGAAGGUUGUAAAAUCCUUUUAUAACUGAGGAAUAAGUAUUAUCAGAGAAAGGUAGUAUGGUGACUGUAGGUUAUGAAUAAGCAACGGCUAAUUACGUGCCAGCAGCCGCGGUAACACGUAAGUUGCGAGCGUUGUUCGGAAUUAUUGGGCGUAAAGGGCAUGUAGGCGGUUUUGCAAGCUUGGUGUGAAAUCCCGGAGCUCAACUCCGGAAUUGCGUUGAGAACUGCAUAACUAGAGUCACUGAGGGGCAAUCAGAAUUCCAGGUGUAGGGGUGAAAUCUGUAGAUAUCUGGAAGAAUACCAAUGGCGAAGGCAGGUUACCAGCAGAUGACUGACGUUGAGGCUCGAAAGCGUGGGGAGCAAACAGGAUUAGAUACCCUGGUA